AUACGUAGGGGGCGAGCGUUGUCCGGAAUGAUUGGGCGUAAAGGGCGCGUAGGCGGCCCGGUAAGUCUGGAGUGAAAGUCCUGUUUUUAAGAUGGGAAUUGCUUUGGAUACUGUCGGGCUUGAGUGCAGGAGAGGUAAGUGGAAUUCCCAGUGUAGCGGUGAAAUGCGUAGAGAUUGGGAGGAACACCAGUGGCGAAGGCGACUUACUGGACUGUAACUGACGCUGAGGCGCGAAAGUGUGGGGAGCAAACAGGAUUAGAUACCCUGGUAGUUCACACUGUAAACGAUGAAUGCUAGGUGUAGGGGGUAUCGACCCCUUCUGUGCCGCAGUCAACACAAUAAGCAUUCCGCCUGGGGAGUACGGCCGCAAGGUUGAAACUCAAAUGAAUUGACGGGG
rnacentral:rRNA from 1 species